rnacentral:rRNA from 1 species
GACGAACGCUGGCGGCGUGCUUAACACAUGCAAGUCGAACGGAAAGGCCCUGCUUUUGUGGUGUGCUAGAGGGGCGAACGGGUGAGUAAGACGAGUGUAACCUGACCUUGACUUUCGGAUAACUUCAGGAAACUGGGGCUAAUAUCGGAUAGGAGCUCUUGCACCGUGGGGGGGGUUGGAAAGUUUCAGCUGUUGGGGUUGGACUCGCGGAUUACCGGGUUGUUGGUGGGGUUGUGGCUUACCAAGGGUUUGACGGAUAGGCGGCCUGCGAGGGUGGCCGGGGACACGGCGACUACGAGACGGCGCAGAAGCCUACGGGAGGCAGCAGUGGGGAGUAUGGCACAGUGGGAGCGAGCCUGAGGCAGCGACGCCGGGUGCGGGAUGACGGCCUUCUGGUUGUCAACAGCUUUCGCCUGUGACGAAGCGUUAGUGACGGUAAUGGGUGAAGAAGCACCGGCUAACUACGUG